UCUAAGUAGUUUAAGUUAUGUUAUAUUAGCUGCAUAAUCUGGUUGUGUUUAACUGAUGAGAAACCUCUUUUGAGUAUGGCUUUGAAAACCACUUGAAUCUGUGUUGUUUGUUAGCUAAUUGGGUUCUUGAUAUAGGUGGGUUACAGUGUGGCCAGUGUGGUUGUUGAUUUUGAUUAUAUAUAUGUGCAGGCAAAUGUUGACGAGGCGAGGUUACAGUGUGGCUUAUGUUGUCUUUCAAGCACAAGCAGUGAAGCCAGCGACGUCGCCGUUGUUCAUUCAGAACGAGAUACUCAAGGCUCCUAGUCCUAAAUCAUUGGAUCUUCCUGAAGGAUCUCAACGCUCUGGGCAAAGCUUCUUCACUCUCCCUCUCAGACCAAUCGUGAUUUUGCAUACUCCUCUCAUAAUCUCAGAGGUACGGUUACAGUGGGAUUACCACCAGACUGGGUUGAUGUAUCUGAGGAGAUUUCAGUUAACAUUCAACGUGCAAGAACCAAAAUGGCUGUGGGUGUGGAUUCUUGGAUCAUUUGCAGCUUCCUUGGAUCUCUGUUUUUUAAAGAGCUCUCUGUUUUUUAAUUUGAAAGUUUUGUAGGUAAGUAUUAAUAUUUUUUGUCCAAGGAUCAUUGAAUUUGGUUUGUAUCUUUGUUCACAUUCAAGUUUUGGUCUAUAGUUAAUAAUAAAUUACAUC